rnacentral:rRNA from 1 species
ACGAACGCUGGCGGCGUGCUUAACACAUGCAAGUCGAACGAAGCUUGAUUACGGAUUCUUCGGAUGAAGUAUGAUAUGACUGAGUGGCGGACGGGUGAGUAACGCGUGAGUAACCUGCCAUUCAGAGGGGGAUAGCGUUUGGAAACGAACGGUAAUACCGCAUAAUGUAUUUUGACCGCAUGAUCGAAAUACCAAAGAUUUAUCGCUGAAGGAUGGACUCGCGUCUGAUUAGGUAGUUGGUGGGGUAACGGCCUACCAAGCCGACGAUCAGUAGCCGGACUGAGAGGUUGAUCGGCCACAUUGGGACUGAGACACGGCCCAGACUCCUACGGGAGGCAGCAGUGGGGAAUAUUGCACAAUGGGCGCAAGCCUGAUGCAGCAACGCCGCGUGAAGGAAGACGGUUUUCGGAUUGUAAACUUCUGUUCUUAGUGAAGAAUAAUGACGGUAGCUAAGGAGCAAGCCACGGCUAACUACGUG